AACGCACCUUGCGCCCUCUGGUAUUCCGGAGGGCAUGCCUGUUUGAGUGUCAUGUUAAUCUCACCUCAAGGUUUCUUGAGUGUGGACUUGGAGGUGGCGUCUUGCCUCCUCUUAAAAGCGUUAGCGACAACGAUGUAAUAAGUUUCAUCCGAAGCCGCUCACAAACCCCAUAUUUUUAUGACUAGACCUCAAAUCAGGUAGGACUACCCGCUGAACUUAA
rnacentral:misc_RNA from 2 species